rnacentral:rRNA from 1 species
ACGUAGGGUGCAAGCGUUAAUCGGAAUUACUGGGCGUAAAGCGUGCGCAGGCGGUUAUGUAAGACAGGUGUGAAAUCCCCGGGCUUAACCUGGGAACUGCAUUUGUGACUGCAUAGCUAGAGUACGGUAGAGGGGGAUGGAAUUCCGGGUGUAGCGGUGGAAUGCGUAGAGAUCCGGAAGAACACCUGAGGCGAAGGCGGCUUGCUGGGCAUGAUCUGACGCUG